GCCCAGGUGGCGAAACUGGCAGACGCGCUACCUUGAGGGGGUAGUGGGAGCAAUCCCGUGGCGGUUCAAAUCCACUCCUGGGC
rnacentral:tRNA from 1 species